UCCCGAUCUGGUGAAGGCAGUGUUGCUGUGU
rnacentral:piRNA from 1 species